AAAAGGAGAAAUGAGAAAAACAUUUCCAUCUCUAGAUCAAAAUGGGAUGUUUCCCUCAAACAUGCUUGUCUCUUAUCCCUUUCUUUCUCUCAGCUUGCUUAAGAAUUGUGAUAGAAAGUUGAAUCAAGCAGGAAAGUGGGAAGCACGGCUACACAGGCUGAGAGACACUUGUUGGCUCGUGUUUAUCUACCCAGCACAGAGGCCAAGGAAAGAACACGGCUCAGAUGGAUGUGCGGGAGGAAAUGCACCAGGAAAUCCCAAGCAGGGCGCAAUCAGUCACCAUUAAUGCUCAGAGGAUCAAAGCUCCUUGAAGAAAUACAGCCACUUACGGAUGGACGGUAAAAUUGAAUUCGCGAAGCAGGGCCUUCUCCAUGGGCGAUUUCUCCGAGCUGAAGCACGAGAAUGGCAUGCUGACCGGGAGUGUCAGGCUUUCCCACUGCAGUUAGCACACUUUCAAGAACAGGUAUUGAAUUUUAGCUGAUUCCAGCAUCAUCUUUUUCAACUCUACAGACAGCUGUUAAACCAUAAAAUAUUUUGAGAUAUAAA